AGGCUGCUGCAUGUCUCCCAGCAGAGAUGUGAAGCAGUAGAAGGCCUGCAAGCCAACUGACUGCUCUUACAUAUUCCUCAGGAGAAAGGUUGUUCGUACACAUCGGGGCUAAAAAUAGACCACACCCUCCAGGCCUUGGGAAAACCGGACAAGACUGACACCUGGUGGUGGGCUCUGGGAAUGCAGCUAGAACUAGACAUCGGUAUAUCGGGAAUUCAACAAACAACCGGUGUAUCAGUCCUCUAUGGGGAAGAGGGCGGAAUCUCAAUAACAACCUUGAAGCAAUUACCCGACCAGUCACAGCACACAGACAUUGUCAGGAGGCAUGGUUUGCCUGAACUUGAUGUAUGGGGAAUAUAAUGAUGUAACGUGAUGGCUGACGAUGCACCAGAUGGAAUACCCAGGCCCAUGUGUCUCUGCUGGUCCUGAUCUGUCCUGGACGCCCCAAGGGAUGCUGGGUAAUAACCGGGGGAGGUCAUGGCUAUGGGGCAACGGGAGCAGCCAGGGAAGUAGAUAGCUUGAUGGAGAGGAAAAGAGGAGGUGAGAGGUCAAAGAUUCUGUCAAUAUUCAUUGGAAGGAGAGCGAUGUAGGUGGAC
ensembl:lncRNA